rnacentral:lncRNA from 10 species
UGUUAGCCAGGAUGGUCUGGAUCUCCUGACCUCGUGAUCUGCCCACCUCAGCCUCCCAAAGUGCUGGGAAGAACUCACCUUUCAAGUCUUAGAUUAAGCUUCAGCUCUGGAGUCCUUUCCAAAAACAUCCCUUUUCUUUUUGAAUUGGCCACACUACUCCAGGAGCCCCCAUUGCAACCUCUACUGUCUUUAAGCAUGCAGCUGUUAACACUUUGUUGCACUUACUAGUCUGUACCUUUAUACACACAGUGGAGGCUUGACAAGGUGGCUUAUGCCUGU